UACGUAGGGUGCAAGCGUUAAUCGGAAUUACUGGGCGUAAAGCGUGCGCAGGCGGUUCCGCAAGUCAGAUGUGAAAUCCCCGGGCUCAACCUGGGAACUGCAUUUGAAACUACGGGGCUAGAGUGUGUCAGAGGGGGGUGGGAAUUCCACGUGUAGCAGUGAAAUGCGUAGAGAUGUGGAGGAACACCAAUGGCGAAGGCAGCCCCCUGGGAUGACACUGACGCUCAUGCACGAAAGCGUGGGGAGCAAACAGG
rnacentral:rRNA from 1 species